rnacentral:rRNA from 1 species
UACAGAGGUGGCAAGCGUUGUUCGGAAUUACUGGGCGUAAAGGGCGCGUAGGCGGUUCGAUAAGUCCCGUGUGAAAUCCCUCGGCUCAACUGAGGAAUGGCACGGGAAACUGACGGGCUUGAGUUCGGGAGAGGGAAGCGGAAUUCCGGGUGUAGCGGUGAAAUGCGUAGAUAUCAGGAGGAACACCGGUGGCGAAGGCGGAUCUCUGGGCCGAUACUGACGCUGAGGAGCGAAAGCGUGGGGAGCGAACAGG